AUGCUCAUUUUGAAAGUACGUGUACUAAAACUGGAAUGAUACAGAGAUUAGCAUGGCCUCUGUGUAAGGAUGACAUGUAAAUUCAUGAAGUGCUCCAAAUUUUU
rnacentral:snRNA from 1 species